GGUAGCCGGCCUGAGAGGGCGGCCGGCCACACUGGGACUGAGACACGGCCCAGACUCCUACGGAAGGCAGCAG
rnacentral:rRNA from 1 species